AGUGAACGCUGGCGGUAGGCCUAACACAUGCAAGUCGAACGGCAGCACAGUAAGAGCUUGCUCUUACGGGUGGCGAGUGGCGGACGGGUGAGGAAUACAUCGGAAUCUACUUUUUCGUGGGGGAUAACGUAGGGAAACUUACGCUAAUACCGCAUACGACCUACGGGUGAAAGCAGGGGAUCUUCGGACCUUGCGCGAUUGAAUGAGCCGAUGUCGGAUUAGCUAGUUGGGGGGGUAAAGGCCCACCAAGGCGACGAUCCGUAGCUGGUCUGAGAGGAUGAUCGCCACCAUGGGAAUUGGGACACGGCCCAGACUCCUCCGGGAGGCAGCGGUGGGGAACAUUGGACAAUGGGGGCAAGCCUGCUCCACACCUCCGGCGUGGGUGAAGAAGGCCUUCGGGUUUUAAAGCCCUUUUGUUGGGAAAGAAAAGCGGCAGGUUAAAACCCCCCUCUACUGACGGUAACCAAAGAAUAAGCACCGGCUAACUUCGUG
rnacentral:rRNA from 1 species